rnacentral:ncRNA from 1 species
CGUUCACUCCGUCCUACGCGGAGCGCAGCUCGACCCAGGCCAUGGAACGGGGGCC